rnacentral:rRNA from 1 species
AACGAACGCUGGCGGCAUGCCUAACACACGCAAGUCGAACGAACCCUUCGGGGUGAGUGGCGCACGGGUGCGUAACGCGUGGGAACCUGCCCUUAGGUUCGGAAUAACAGUGAGAAAUCGCUGCUAAUACCGGAUAAUGUCUUCGGACCAAAGAUUUAUCGCCUUUGGAUGGGCCCGCGUUGGAUUAGCUAGUUGGUGGGGUAAAGGCUCACCAAGGCGACGAUCCAUAGCUGGUCUUAGAGGAUGAUCAGCCACACUGGGACUGAGACACGGCCCAGACUCCUACGGGAGGCAGCAGUGGGGAAUAUUGGACAAUGGGCGAAAGCCUGAUCCAGCAAUGCCGCGUGAGUGAUGAAGGCCUUAGGGUUGUAAAGCUCUUUUACCAGGGAUGAUAAUGACAGUGCCUGGAGAAUAAGCUCCGGCUAACUCCGUGCCAGCAGCCGCGGUAAAGUCUGUACU